AAACUAGCAUACGAGUAUUGGUGGCGCUUGUAAACAUUUACGUAUUCCGGUAAAUACGGCGAUAAGACUGAUAACAGUGAAGAAAUGAGAGUGCUCACGCCUAUUGUCUACUUGUUCUACAAUACAGGUGCUGCACCACGCGACCAAUUGCUGAAGUUGUUCUAUGCUAGCAUGUAUAAGAAUCUAUUUUCCACUACAAACAAGCUAUACUCCCUGUGGUUCCACGCUACAAAAACCUAUUUUAUUGAAUGAUUCUAGUUUUCUAUCCGAGAUAGUUGAUUGAAUGUUGCGAUCGUUUGAGAUUGAUUGACAUUUACACAUGGUGUGCCGACUAAUAAAACUAAUUAGCUCAAACAACCACCCACUAGAGCCUACCAACUAGAGCUGACUACUAACCGGCGAUAACGAGAAGCAACUAGAGAUGAUAAAUAACUAUUAGCUGUGACAAAUGACGACUACGUAUGAUCAACACCGAUUCGCUAUGAUGAGUAACGACUAAGGAUGACUAUCAGCAACUAGCAACGAUGACGAUUAACUAGUGACUUAUUUUUAAAGGCAACCAACUCGCAGUGAAUGCAUCCGUAACGAGAUAUGUCCUUGAGCUAGGAUAAAGGAACUAGUCGCUGGUUGAGGGAAGCUUGGCAACACAGAAAUCCUGCAAGGUCAAAACUCGGCCUUACAAAGUACGAAAAACUGUUCAACCAGGGAUCAAACAUUCGAACCAACGGUAGAAAAAGAAAUCAGUAGAUACGCAAAACAAUGCAAGAAAAGAACGGCGACACAACAAAACCAGCUGGCUGCUGAAGCGAGCAGAAACCUCAUAAAAAGGAGACUAGAAAACACCCCACUGACUUCACUAAAGAAAUAAAAUAGACAAACUCGAAGAUGGUAUGCCACUGGGGGUAGCCAUCCACAUGUUAUUUAGCAACAAAGCUAGAAAAAUUUACCGAAUGUCGAACUGGACAAAGCAAGGGAUAAAUAUAUAAGCGAAUUUUGUAUGAACAUAAUCUAUACACAUAUUAUUAUAAACUCAUUACGAUUUAUUCGAAACAUCACAUUUAACCAGGAUGGUAAAAUACACGCAAGAUAGCCUGUACCAUUCGCUCGUGUUGAUUCUACGAAGAAUACCUGAAGACGCUAACCAUCGCAGUCGCUAAACGUUGAGGUUCCCCGGAUCACGACGCCAUCUAAUAUACAUUUAUAUACAAUGUAUUCAUAUAAUAUGUUUAUAUGGAACCGUUUCUAUUGGCAAGCUAAACUGCCCCAGCCACUUAAACAGUUGGUUCUAUACAAAUAGCAUUACCUAUAGGAUUUGCUUUUUUACUUAUUGACAAUUAGAAAUGUUUCAGAGAAAAAUAAAAUUAUCGGCUCAAGUGCUAUGCUUUAGCUAAAUACUUUUGCGCCCGAAUUUAUGGAUUGAUCGAAGGGAUAAUCUCGGGCAAUGAAAGUUCGAUUUAUGGCGCCAUGGAUAACAGAGAUCAGAAAUCAGCCAGGUAAUUACGCUAGGAAUGGGGAAGCCGAAAAGAAAUGCGUCCUUUGUUUUAAAAUCACAAGGAAAGAGCGCUUUCGAAAAUCAGGGACCUAUGUGGUUUCCGAGUGAAUGAUAUCUUCUUUCACCCUAGGAAAUUGCACCUCUUCGCAAAAUACAGGAAACGCAAGGUAUCCCUGCAGCUUAAGACGCAUAGAACUUAAGAUGCAUAUAUAUAUUAUUAUUUAUUUAUAAAUAUCGUACCUAUUUGCUCUUUCUUUCCACCUUCUCUUUCCUCGCUCCUUCUGAACACAGAAGGGUUGUAUUUUCAAGCAGAAGAUAUAAAGUUCACGAACGAAUAAGGUGUAAAAGUGGCGAAAAGAGAAUAAGCUAGAAAAAGAAGCGAGUUAAAGCUAGAUAGAUGCGGUUGUAGUAGGUACGACACUAAAUAUGACUAGAACAUGAAUAUAAACUACUGCUAGAAAGUGUAAUUAUGGGAAUGAUAACGCAUUUUCGGGAUUUCAAGAUUGUCAGUAACGAAACAUAGGCAAGCAAGAGCGUGCUUCCUUCGUUAUUUUUAGAGACUUUGGUGCUAUUCAAGGAUAUUGAAAAGAAAAAGUAACGCUUAGCUUGGAGCUCAGUGCAGUCAAGAGAGUUUAAUCGAAGCAUUGCGUCGAAUAAAAGAUGAUGAAAGCGGCAAACUAAAGCUGAAGCAGAACGAUAUUGGAAUUCCGAUAUUGGAUAUAAAAAUUCUAGAAAUGCGACUUCGGACCAACAAUAAUACGAAAAGUCGAUUGAAACCUGACAGCAAGCAUCCAUUAUAAUUUUCUUUUUUUAUUACUCCGUUAUUAAUAAUAAUAUGUAAUUUUUUGUUUUUCUCUUUAUCUCUUUAGGUCUCGUAGGAGAAGAGAAUGAAAAUCAUCAAUCGUGUUGAUUCUGAGUGAACUGGAUUCGUGGAAUAGAAAUAAAAAUACGUUUCAUUUCAGUAUGAUUUAUUGAUUUUUUAAACAAACUGGAAAAUUAAAAAUUAGCAAGUUUAAAUGAAGAAAUUAAGAAUGCUCGUAAAUGCGCCAUUACUUUCGUAAACGAGACGUCUCUCCUUCAGAAAAUGGUACUUUUAGUUUCAAUAUUGUAAAAACGAUUGUACUCCGUCUCUAUUUAUCGAGUACUUUAUUAUCGUCGAAGAAAAUUCGAAAAAAGGUAACAAAAGAAUAAAAAGAGAAUUAAAACAGAGAAAAGUUUCCAGAAUUUAUCAGAAUUGUAUCAUGCAGAUGCGAGAGUUUCUUUGUUUUACUCAUAGUUAACCCCUUAUCCUACAACUACGGGCAUAGCUCGUAAUGCGAUGACGGGCAUAGCCCAUAGUAGAUGAUCGGACUAAUCGGCAUCGCUCGUGGUACGUACUACACAAGUCGUGCGAAUGACUCGAAGGCUGCGCGAGCUUCUUUACGUUUUCGGCCCAAAAUUCUCGAAUUUAAAUCGUACGUUAUGGGGUUAAUACAUAUUAUUAACUUAAUGUUAAUACGUACCCUAAGUUUA